GGAGUGGAAAGGUAAACGGGGAAAAAAAAGGAAAGGUUCAGCGUCUUCCGGGUCUCUGUAAUGGUCAUUGAGUAGUACUGCCUGCACUACCCAUAAGAAUUAUUACUCCUUUCCAUUUUAUGCCACUUCAACAGAUUUACUUAUUUACGCAGCAUCCACAGCCAAAGCCCACCUUUUGAUUUUGAUUUUCCUCAGAGACUAGCAAAUGAAGAAGGGAGGCUUAAACCCUAAUGUCAAGCUCAAGCUCUCCCUCCCUCCUCCUAAUGAAGUUUCCUUCGCUAAGUUCCUAACCCAAAGCGGUACGUUUAGAGAUGGUGAUCUGCUUGUCAAUCGAGACGGUGUUCGGAUUGUCUCUCAAAUCGAUACCCAGCCUCCACCACCUAUAACGCCCACAGACAACCAAUUGAGUUUAGCGGAUAUAGACAUGGUUAAGGUCAUCGGGAAGGGAAGUAGUGGAAUUGUGCAGUUGGUGCAACACAAAUGGACAAGCCAGUUUUUUGCCUUGAAGGUUAUCCAAAUGAAUAUCGAAGAGUCUGCACGCAAGGCCAUUACUCAGGAACUGAAAAUUAAUCAGUCAUCACAAUGUCCUUAUGUUGUCAUGUGCUACCAGUCUUUUUACGAUAACGGUGCCAUUUCAAUUAUCUUAGAGUACAUGGAUGGUGGAUCUCUAGCAGAUUUUCUGAAAAGUGUUAAAAAAAUUUCAGAACCAUAUCUUGCUGCCAUCUUUAAGCAGGUGCUCAAGGGUUUGUUGUAUCUUCAUCAUGAAAAACACAUCAUCCACCGGGAUUUAAAACCUUCUAAUUUGUUGAUUAAUCAUAGAGGAGAAGUCAAGAUUACAGACUUUGGAGUGAGUGCAAUCAUGCAAAGCACGUCUGGACAGGCUAAUACUUUUGUUGGCACAUACAACUAUAUGUCUCCUGAGAGAAUUAGUGGGGGACGAUAUGACUAUAAAAGUGACAUUUGGAGCUUGGGCUUGGUAUUGCUGGAGUGUGCAACCGGCGAAUUCUCAAUUACCCCUCCUGUGCCGAAUGAAGGCUGGACUAAUGUCUAUGAACUUAUGGUAGCCAUUGUUGAUCAACCUCCACCUUCUGCACCACCAGACCAAUUUUCUCCAGAGUUUUGUUCAUUUAUAUCUGCAUGUGUGCAGAAAGAUCCAAAGGAUAGACAGUCAGCACAUGAACUGAUGGUAUUUGAAGUCCCAUGAUUGUUCUUCUGGGUGGGGCAAUUAGCUGCCCACCAAGUAUUAAUGGCACUUCAUGAACACCCAUUCAUGAACAUGUAUGAGGACCAGCAUGUGGAUCUCUCGUCAUACUUUACAAAUGCCGGUUCUCUUGCCACCCUUUGAAACUUGUGAUACCCUAUGAUUGCGAUCUUGAAGGCCUGAAGAAAGAUUCUUAAAUGUCAUCGUGCGGCUUAAAAUAAAUCAACUUGCUGCAAUUACAAUUUCCAAGGCUGAGGUUUUCAAAGCAUUUGCAAUUCACAAAACAUCCCAGGGUCAUAAUAUUUAGUGUAUGCCAUGCACUAAUCAUGGAAUAGAGAGCGUAUGGUUUCAAGGAAGCUUCUUGUUUGUGAGAGAUAUCAUUGGAAUAUGGUUUCCUGUAUAACUUACCGAAAUGAUUUUUUUUUUUUUUUAUUGUUUUAGUUGUAUGUCGAGUGUUGCAAAUGCAUCAAACUCCUAUGUGAAAGGUGUCAAUAUAUGGCUGUGUGUGACUUUGAGCUUGCAAA